AUUAAAGGACCACUAUAGUGCCAGGAAAACAUACUCGUUUUCCUGGCACUAUAGUGCCCUGAGGGUGCCCCCACCCUCAGGGACCCCCUCCCGCCCGGCUCUGGAAAGGGGUUUAAACUUACCUUUUUCCAGCGCUGGGCGGAGAGCUCUCCUCCUCCUCUCCGCCUCCGUUACGCCCCGCCGACUGAAUGCGCACGCGCGGCAAGAGCUGCGCGCGCAUUCAGCCGGUC